rnacentral:rRNA from 1 species
UACGAAGGGGGGCUAGCGUUGUUCGGAAUCACUGGGCGUAAAGCGCAUGCAGGCGGAUCGCUAAGUCGGGGGGUGAAAUCCCGAGGCUCAACCUCGGAACUGCCUUCGAUACUGGCGAUCUUCGAGUCCGGGAGAGGUGAGUGGAACUCCGAGUGUAGAGGUGAAAUUCGUAGAUAUUCGGAAGAACACCAGUGGCGAAGGCGGCUCACUGGCCCGGUACUGACGCUGAGAUGCGAAAGCGUGGGGGAGCAAACAGG